AGGUGUGGAUAGGGGAGAAAUUCCAAUCGAACCCGGAGAUAGCUGGUUCUCCUCGAAAUAGCUUUAGGGCUAGCCUCGAUACAGAUUUGCGGAGGUAGAGCACUGAAUUUCCUAGGGGGCGUCAAAGCCUACCGAAGAAUAUCAAACUCCGAAUGCCGCGUAAUCGAUUAUCGGGAGUCAGACUGCACGAGAUAAGUUGGGCGGUCAAAAGGGAAAGAGCCCAGACCUUCAGUUAAGGUCCCCAAGUGCGCGUUAAGUGGAAAAGGAUGUGGGAUUUCGAAGACAACCAGGAUGUUGGCUCAGAAGCAGCCAUCCAUUCAAAGAGUGCGUAAUAGCUCACUGGUCGAGAGGUCCUGCGCCGAAAAUGUCCGGGGCUGAAACGCGCCACCGAAACUAAGGAACCGAAAGGUUGGUAGAGGAGCAUUGCAUGCGGGAAGAAGCAGUACCGUAAGGAGCUGUGGACUGCAUGGAAGAGAGAAUGCCGGAAUGAGUAGCGAGAAUAAGGUGAGAAUCCUUAUGGCCGAAUAUCCAAGGUUUCCAGAGUAAAGCUGAUCUGCUCUGGGUAAGUCGGGGCCUAAGGCGAGGACGAGAGUCGUAGCCGAUGGACAACAGGUGGAGAUUCCUGUACUGCGGUAUGACAGAACUGUGGGGACACGUAAGGAAAGCGGAAGCCGGGAAUGGAAAGCCCGGUGCAAGCGGGGUACCAGUCACUUUGGCAAAUCCGGGUGGCAAUGGGAAGCCGUGAUGCGGAGCGAAAUAAAGUAGCGAAGUCCGUGAGCCAUGCGUCAAGAAAAGCCGCUAUCGUUUAUACCGUACCCGUACCGUAAACCGACACAGGUGGAUGAGGAGAGAAUCCUAAGGCCGGCGGAAGAAGCAUUGUCAAGGAACUCGGCAAAAUGACCCCGUAACUUCGGGAGAAGGGGUGCCUGCGAGAGCAGGCCGCAGAGAAUAGGCUCAAGCAACUGUUUAGCAAAAACACAGGUCUAUGCGAAACCGAAAGGUGAGGUAUAUGGGCUGACGCCUGCCCGGUGCUGGAAGGUUAAGAGGAGAGGUUAGCGCAAGCGAAGCUUUGAAUUUAAGCCCCAGUAAACGGCGGCCGUAACUAUAACGGUCCUAAGGUAGCGAAAUUCCUUGUCGGGUAAGUUCCGACCCGCACGAAAGGCGUAAUGAUUUGAGCGCUGUCUCGACAAUGCAUCCGGUGAAAUUGAAGUACCAGUGAAGAUGCUGGUUACCUGCGCCAGGACGGAAAGACCCCAUGGAGCUUUACUCCAGUCUGGUACUGGGACUCGGUAUUGCAUGUACAGGAUAGGUGGGAGGCUAGGAGAUGGUAACGCCAGUUGCCAUGGAGCCGCUGUUGGGAUACCACCCUUGCAGUAUUGGGUUUCUAACCAGCCGCCGUGACCCGGCGGUGGGACAAUGCCAGACGGGGAGUUUGACUGGGGCGGUCGCCUCCGAAAGGGUAUCGGAGGCGCCCAAAGGUUCCCUCAGAAUGGACGGAAACCAUUCGAAGAGUGCAAAGGCAGAAGGGAGCUUGACUGCGACACCGACGGGUGGAGCAGGUACGAAAGUAGGACUUAGUGAUCCGGUGGUAUAAAGUGGGAUUGCCAUCGCUCAACGGAUAAAAGCUACCCUGGGGAUAACAGGCUUAUCACUCCCAAGAGUUCACAUCGACGGAGUGGUUUGGCACCUCGAUGUCGGCUCAUCGCAUCCUGGGGCUGUAGUAGGUCCCAAGGGUUGGGCUGUUCGCCCAUUAAAGCGGUACGCGAGCUGGGUUCAGAACGUCGUGAGACAGUUCGGUCCCUAUCCGGCGUGGGCGUAGGAUAUCUGAGAGGAGCUGUCCUUAGUACGAGAGGACCGGGAUGGACGGGCCGCUGGUGCAUCGGUUAGACUGCCAAGUCUACGGCCGAGUAGCCAAGCCCGGAAGGGAUAAACGCUGAAGGCAUCUAAGCGUGAAGCCCCCCUUAAGAUGAGAUAUCCCAUUCGAAAGAAGUAAACCCCCUUGAAGACGACGAGGUAGAUAGGGCAGAGGUGGAAGUGUGGCAACACAUGGAGCUGACUGUUACUAAUCGGGUGAGGGCUUGACCAA
rnacentral:rRNA from 1 species